UACGUAGGGUGCAAGCGUUGUCCGGAAUUAUUGGGCGUAAAGAGCUCGUAGGCGGUUUGUCGCGUCUGCUGUGAAAACUCGGGGCUUAACCCCGGGCCUGCAGUGGGUACGGGCAGACUAGAGUGCGGUAGGGGAGACUGGAAUUCCUGGUGUAGCGGUGAAAUGCGCAGAUAUCAGGAAGAACACCAAUGGCGAAGGCAGCUCUCUGGGCAUUAACUGACGCUGAGGAGCGAAAGCAUGGGGAGCGAACAGG
rnacentral:rRNA from 1 species